rnacentral:rRNA from 1 species
CGGAGGGGCUAGCGCUGUUCGGAAUUACUGGGCGUAAAGCGCGCGUAGGCGGCUUUGUAAGUUAGAGGUGAAAGCCCGGGGCGUCAACUCCGGAAUUGUCCUUUAAGACUGCAUCGCUUGAAUCAUGGAGAGGUGAGUGGAAUUCCGAGUGUAGAGGUGAAAUUCGUAGAUAUUCGGAAGAACACCAGUGGCGAAGGCGACUCACUGGACAUGUAUUGACGCUGAGGUGCGAAAGCGUGGGGGGAGCAAACAGGAUU